rnacentral:tRNA from 1 species
GAGUAUGAGUAAUUGUACUAGCUUUGCAAAAGCUGGUGAGGAGUAUAUCUCCCAUGCUUU